GAUGAACGCUGGCGGCGUGCCUAAUACAUGCAAGUCGAGCGAACAGAUGAGGAGCUUGCUCCUCUGACGUUAGCGGCGGACGGGUGAGUAACACGUGGAUAACCUACCUAUAAGACUGGGAUAACUUCGGGAAACCGGAGCUAAUACCGGAUAAUAUAUUGAACCGCAUGGUUCAAUAGUGAAAGACGGUUUUGCUGUCACUUAUAGAUGGAUCCGCGCCGCAUUAGCUAGUUGGUAAGGUAACGGCUUACCAAGGCAACGAUGCGUAGCCGACCUGAGAGGGUGAUCGGCCACACUGGAACUGAGACACGGUCCAGGCUCCUACGGGAGGCAGCAGUAGGGAAUCUUCCGCAAUGGGCGAAAGCCUGACGGAGCAACGCCGCGUGAGUGAUGAAGGUCUUCGGAUCGUAAAGCUCGGUUAUUAGUGAAGAACAAAUUUGUAAGUAACUAUGCACGUCUUGACGGUACCUAAUCAGAAAGCCACGGCUAACUACGUG
rnacentral:rRNA from 1 species